UGGCUAGUUAGUCUCACAAUAAUCUGGGCGGCAAUUAAAAGACACGCUCAGUUUAACUGCAGUGUUUUGAGCAAAACUCUAAAAUCUGAUUCUUUACUACAUUCCAUUAUCAACAUCAUUCUUUGUCUGAUUAGAAGUUACAAGUAGAUAUCUCUGCCUUUGCACGAUGUGUAUGGAGAUUCAUUUGGAGGCCCUGCAAAAUCCUUGGACUGUGACGGCACGCUGAAAAGGUAAUGUUAAGAACCAGAGGACGGAGCGUAAGACCAAGGUACUUAUUGAACGCUAUACAUAUAUCAUCGUGUGUUGUUAUCAUUAUUUACCUGCAUGUCUAAAACUGUAAUAUUGCAUUAUGUUGUCAUUUCCACGUUUGUACAAAGCAGAAACAGAAGCAUGCAUAGCCUUAAAUGACACGGCUGUAUUUAAUGUUACACGUUUGUUUACAUUGUGAAUUCUGUAAACUCUUAGAAAAACGAUCGCAGAACAACACAUUCAAAGACACAGCAUUGGAACUUAAAAGUGAAUGUGUUAAAGUUGACACACAACCGGAAAGGUGCAGAAAAGCCAAUUGCAUACAUUUAUUUUAAGGUGAAAAGGAACAAGGAUGUAGUAUAUUUCACUGAACUAUACCAGGUGUGAGCUCAAAAUACUCCAGUACAAACAGGCAGCUGAGGAGGUUAAACGUCACCAUUAAACCAAUAAAAACAAACACAUUUGAACUUGUGAUUUGUGUUUUCACGUGACUGACUACGUUUUUUCCUUCAUAAGUGCCCUCCAAGGUUUUACAGUAAGGAUUUAAAGGUAGCAAUCCACCCUUGUUGUUACUGCUGUAACACAAACACACCUCAGACUG